rfam:Picea glauca, whole genome shotgun sequence.
GGUAGGUGAGGAGAGGUAAGCCCUCGCACUUUUGCGAGAAGGGUGUCCGCCCCAAUAUUACCUUGUUACGGUUAAUGGGCACUCCCCAUAUACCAUUCUGAUACC